rnacentral:precursor_RNA from 11 species
CGCUGUGGAGAAAAUGGUUCAAUGACUUGGCCUUAUCAUUCACCAGUCCGGUUAGAUUUUUUGGAAAGUUCCUUUUUCUUGGUUGCACCAAGAUUUAAGUUGAACACCCUACUGGACGGAGAACUGAUAAGGGCGUGUCUUGCAACACAAUCGACGAAUUCUUU